AUUAUAGAUGGGCAUUUUUCUAUUGAUUUCAGGGUGAAAUCCAUUAAAACUGGCAGAAAAGUUGGCUGCAUUUCCGUAGAGUCGAUGAAAUCAAAUAGAAAUAUGAAGCUGAGAAAAAGGAAGGAAUGUGUGCGGCUGUGUGAAGUAGAGUCGAGCUCAGCCAUUGGAAAGUGGAAUGAGGACCUUGCCUGCCUGUCAGAGAAGGUGCAAAAGAUGGUCCAGAAUAUUGAUUUCAUGCUACCUUUAAUGCUUAUUACUGAACUCCACUGCUGUGAAAUCAGACUGAGGCUGCGCUUCUUAAGUCAGUGA
rnacentral:lncRNA from 1 species